CCCUUAGAUGUUCUGGGCCGCACGCGCGCUACACUGACGGAUUCACUGAGUCUAUCCUUGGCCGAAAGGUCUAGGUAAUCUCCAAAAUUCGUCGUGAUGGGGAUAGAUUAUUGCAAUUAUUAAUCUUCAACGAGGAAUGCCUAGUAAGCGCAAGUCAUCAGCUUGCGUUGAUUACGUCCCUGCCCUUUGUACACACCGCCCGUCGCUCCUACCGAUUGAAUGGUCCGGUGAAGCGUUUGGACUAUGGUUUUCUGACGGUUCGCCAUUGGAUUACCGUGGGAAAUUCGUUAAACCUUAUCAUUUAGAGGAAGGAGAAGUCGUAACA
rnacentral:rRNA from 1 species